CACGCCGUAAACGAUGGAUACUAGGUAUAGGGAGACAUUCUCUCUGUGCCGGAGCUAACGUAUUAAGUAUCCCACCUGGGGAGUACGGCCGCAAGGCUGAAACUCAAAGGAAUUGACGGGGACCCGCACAAGCAGUGGAGUAUGUGGUUUAAUUCGAAGCAACGCGAAGAACCUUACCAAGGCUUGACAUAAUACUGAAUAUUCUAGAAAUAGAAUAGUCCUUCGGGACAGUAUUACAGGUGG
rnacentral:rRNA from 1 species